GCGGCGGACGGGUGAGUAACACGUGGGCAACCUACCUGUAAGACUGGGAUAACUUCGGGAAACCGGAGCUAAUACCGGAUGACAUAAAGGAACUCCUGUUCCUUUAUUGAAAGAUGGCUUCKGCUAUCACUUACAGAUGGGCCCGCGGCGCAUUAGCUAGUUGGGGAGGGAACGGCUCACCAAGGGGACGAUGCGUAGCCGACCUGGGAGGGUGAUCGGSCACACUGGGACUGAAACACGGCCCAGACUCCUACGGGAGGGAGCAGUAGGGAAUCUUCCGCAAUGGACGAAAGUCUGACGGAGCAACGCCGCGUGAGCGAUGAAGGGCUUCGGGUCGUAAAGCUCUGUUGUUAGGGAAGAAUAAGUGCUAGUUGAAUAAGCUGGUACCUUGACGGUACCUAACCAGAAAGCCACGGCUAACUACGUGCCAGCAGCCGCGGUAAUACGUAGGUGGCAAGCGUUGUCCGGAAUUAUUGGGCGUAAAGSGCGCGCAGGCGGUUUCUUAAGUCUGAUGUGAAAGCCCCCGGCUCAACCSGGGAGGGUCAUUGGRAACUGGGAAACUUGAGUGCAGAAGAGGAAAGUGGAAUUCCAAGUGUAGCGGUGAAAUGCGUAGAGAUUUUGGAGGAACACCAGUGGCGAAGGCCAUUUUCUGGGCCUGUAACUGACGCUGAGGCGCGGAAAGCGUGGGGGAGCAAACAGGGAUUUAGAUACCCUGGGUA
rnacentral:rRNA from 1 species